GAUGAACGCUGACAGAAUGCUUAACACAUGCAAGUCAACCUGAACUUCGGUUUGGGUGGCGGACGGGUGAGUAACGCGUAAAGAACUUGCCUCCCAGCUAGGGACAACAUUUGGAAACGAAUGCUAAUACCUGAUAUUAUGAUUUUAGGGCAUCCUAGAAUUAUGACAGCUAUAUGCGCUGUGAGAGAGCUUUGCGUCCCAUUAGCUAGUUGGAGAGGUAACGGCUCACCAAGGCGAUGAUGGGUAGCCGGCCUGAGAGGGUGAACGGCCACAAGGGGACGGAGACACGGCCCGUACUCCUCCGGGGGGCAGCAGGGGGGAAAAUUGGACAAUGGACCAAGAGUCUGAUCCAGCAAUUCUGUGUGCAAGAAGAAGUUUUUCGGAAUGUAAAGUGCUUUCAGUUGGGAAGAAAAAAAUGACGGUACCAACAGAAGAAGUGACGGCUAAAUACGUG
rnacentral:rRNA from 1 species